rnacentral:lncRNA from 1 species
GUACCCUGUGGUUUAAAGUGUAUCAAUUUGGCCCCCUAUGGUUUUGUUUUUAUUUUUUCUAUAGCUUUUUUCUUAAUAUUUCGUUAAAUUAUAUGCAAAAAAAUAUCAGAUAUCCAUCUAGAUUUACCGAAUAUUUACUUUAGUACCCUUUAAUUUUAAUUUUAUUACUGAUUUGAGGAAAAAAAAUAAUAAAAUUGAUAAAAAAAAAGAGAAAAACGAAACCAUAAUUACAAAAAAAGGAACUAGUAGAAAAUAAUAAAAAAACUUAAUAUUUAACUUCGCCUCCAUUUUUGUUAUAGUAAAUUUUUUUAUGAACUUCCGAAGCCAAUUACCUUCCAAUCAAUCAAACAACAUUAAAAAAAUAAUCUUUACACAUGAAUUUUAUGUUCAUUAAAAAGUAUUUUCGACUUAAAUCUAUCGUAGAUAAAUAACAGCCGGUCUGUUGAUUUUUUUUUCUUAGAAAAAUCAAGUGGGUAUUUGACGCAUUUAAAUUUUAAAAUCAAAGUGUAACUGAUUCAAACUCAAAUAAAUUGAAAGAUUGUAUAGUAAAUUAAAAUUUUGAAAGGUUGGAUAACUGAUUCAAAAUAAUCUAUACAUCAGAAAAGUUCUAUACAUUUUUUCGCCUUAAAAAUACUAUUUUGUGCCAUAUUAAAGAGCAUAUAUCUUAUACCCUAAAUCUAAAAUCCAUUUUAUAUUUUAGUAUUGAAAAAGAGUUAUAAGAUAAGUUAGUAAAUCUAAUUAGAACUUAUCUCAUUAAUUGAAUAAUUGAAGUCUCUACAUUUCUUGCACUUUACAACACUAAAAUAAUGUCUCCAAAAUAACGUUUUGGAUAAAAUAAUGCCAAAUAAAGGAUUUUGAGAACUCGUGCGUGAAGUGGAUUGAAAAAAACAUCUUAUCAAUUUUUAUAUAAAAUUUCAGUACAUGAUUGGAACUGAAAUUCUGCGAAUUAGUUUGGCAUAUUACUUGUGAGAUUAGCUAAUUCAAUGUGUUUACUUGGACUUUGUCUUAUGUUAAAUAAUAAAAUUUUGUUAAUUAUUGUUGGUUUGUACGGAAAAAAAAAAUAGUUGUAUCGCGCAGUUUAUUUGGUUGAAAGAAAAAAUACUAUUAACAUAUUUUUUAUUAAUAUAUUAUUACUAUAAUUAUUAUUAUGCUUAUAUAUGAAAAUUAUAUAUAUAUUUUCUCCUAUUAUAAUAUAUUAUAUAUUAUUAAUAUAUAAUAAUUAUCAUAAUAUAUUUAAUUAUUAUAAUUUAUAUUUAUAAACAGAUAUAUUUAAAUAUUAUAUAAAUAAAAUAUAUAAUACAAUAUAUAAUAAUAUUAUAUAUUUAAUAUUAUAGAAAUACUUUUAGAUAUUUAUAAAUAAAUAUUAAUAUAUAUAUAUAUAUAUAUAUAUAUAUAUAUAUAGUUAUGAGUGGUCCAUUGUGGACCACUCACGUCGGUCCAUGAGCUCUUACAAUGAGCUCGUGGACGCCGAUAAUGAGCACGAUGAGUUUUCGUUUCGCGCGAGAUAUCUCGGCGGGAAAACGAAAGCUUUUUUUUCCAUAGAAUUCGAAACUAAUUUUUUCUGUAAAAUUUUUCUACGUCAACCAAACGCUAGAAAAAGAAUUUACGUAUCUGAAAAAAAAUUUUCUAACCAUUUUUACAGAACCAAACGCCCCUAAGUCAAGAAACUUUUAUGACUUGAUGGGUGGAAAGACAGGAGAUAGAGAACCGAUGAAAGAUGGGACAGAGUACAAUAUAUAUGAAUAUAGGUGUAGAAAACGCCGAGAAAUAUUCGUUGGCAUUUUUUUCGAAAACGAAUUCGUGUACAACAUGAUAAGUCCCUAAUUGGUCCACAAAGAUCUUUUAACAUUCCAAACCUCAACGAGAUUGAACUACAAUAAGCCUGAUCUCUAAUUCACCGUUUAAGAUCCUCUAAAAAAUAGAUUAAUAAAGAAUAUAAUUUCUCUCUCACACAAGAUGACUACAAAUUCACUCACAAAUUUAUGAGUAUCUUUCUUCUUUUUUUUUUGUUCUACGUAUGAGGAUAUAGCGCCGAUAUUUUUAUAAGGAACCCAAAAUCAUAAUAGAUAAAUAAAAAUUCGGUCGAAUCGAUUUAUAUUAUUAUUCUAAUUUGGCUAGAAUAUCUCUUUAUGUAGUUUUUCAUUUAAAGCAAAAUUAUGUCUAGUCUAAUUAUUAUAUAACGCUCGAUCAAGUCCAAUCAUUGAUGCAUCGAUUCGGUUUAACCAAAUGCCAACCAUAGGAAUACACUUUUCCCACUCUGGGUAAGUUACUAGAUGGAGAAAUGAUUUUUAUUCCCUUAUAAAUUAUUAAUAUACCGCAAUUAUAUAUAAUAUUUUAAAAUAUAAUAUUAUUUAAUUAAAGUUUUUAUUAUAGUGUUAGUUUAUAUAUAAUUAAUAUUAGAGUUGAGUAGAAUACAUCUAAAAAGUAUUACAUUUAAUAUUUCUAACAUUUUCACCUCCAAUCUAUUAUUAUUUCAUAUACUCUCACUAAAUCCAUACAUCAAAAAGUUGUAGGAUAACAUAUUUUGCAUUUGAAUAAAAUUAGAAUUAUUCCUAAAAAAUAAAAAAAGCAUUUACAUCAAAAUAUUAUUACAUAUUAAUUAAUUAAUUAUGAAUAUUGCUAGUAUACUAUAAAUAUUAAUUCAUAAAUUAAUUAACAAGGAGUAUUGUUAAUUAAUAAUUUAUUAAUCACAUUGAGUUAAUAAAUUAAUAAAUGAAUUAGUUAAUUAUUUAAUAGUUAGAUAAUUACUAAGAAAAUAAUUAAUUAGUAAAAAAUUAAUUAGUUAAUCAAUAUAAUAUUAAUUGUUUAAAUAAUUAAUAAUUAAUUAUAAUAUAAAUUAAUUGCUCUAAUACUAAUUAAAUAUUAUUUGAAUAAUAAAUCAAGUUUUUGUCAUUUAUUGCUUAAUUGUAAAAUUAAUAUAUAAUAUAUUAAUUAAUAAUUUUUUAUUAUUGAUUAGUAGAAGAAUUUUAGAAUAACCCGUAUAAGAAGAAACUGGAUUUCUUUUUUUUUUUGGAAAACUUCAAAAACCCCACUGUGGUUUCCAACUUUCAUUUAGCUCCUGUGGUUUAAGUGUAUCAAUUUGCCCCUAUGGUUUUGUUUUAUUUUUUCUAUAGCUUUUCUUAAUAUUUCGUUAAAUUAUAUGCAAAAAAUAUCAGAUAUCCAUCUAGAUUUACCGAAUAUUUACUUAGUACCCUUUAAUUUUAAUUUAUUUACUGAUUGAGGAAAAAAAUAAUAAAAUGAUAAAAAAAAGAGAAAAACGAAACAAAUGGGGGCAAAUUGAUACACUUUAAACCACAUGGUACUAAAGUGAGAAGUUGGAAACCACUGGAGGGUAUUUUUGAAGUU